rnacentral:ncRNA from 1 species
GUUGUUGUGCGGUUACUGGACUCUGACCGUGAUCGAUCGUGAGUCGUUUCAGCUGUUAGUUGUAUGUCUAACAACGAGCGUGGAAUUGCUCUAUGUUGCGUCAAGUGGCUGUGCUUCCAUUGUUUGGCGCACGACGGCUAACUCAGAACUGGAGCGGACCAGGAGAAUCCGACUGUCUAAAUAAAACAAAGCAUUGAGAUGUCCACUGACUAGUUAUGAAGCAAUGUGAUUUCUGCCCAGUGCUCUGAAUAUCAAAGUGAAAAAAUUCGAAUAAGCGCAGGUAAACGGUGGGGGUAACUACGGACAGUUACCCAUACAUUGAUUCCUUAUAUCGAACCAUUUGUGUGUACUAAACCUGUAACGUAUGACGAUCGUGGCUGCAGGUUCCAGUUCUGCUGGGACAAUGGCAAUGAUCAUAUGUCUAUGACUGGUGUCAUGAAUACUG